CCUACGGGUGGCAGCAGUGGGGAAUAUUGCACAAUGGGGGAAACCCUGAUGCAGCGACGCCGCGUGAGUGAAGAAGUAUCUCGGUAUGUAAAGCUCUAUCAGCAGGGAAGAAAAAGAUGAUACCUCACUAAGAAGCCCCCGUUAACUACGUGCCAGCAGCCGCGGCAAUACGUAGGGGGAAAGCGUUAUCCGGAUUUACUGGGUGUAAGGGGAGCGUAGUCGGCGCUGCAAGUCGGGUGUGAAAGCCCAGGGCUUAACCAUGGUACUGCUCUGGUAACUGUGGAGCUUGAGUGCUGGAGGGGCAGGCGGAAUUCCUAGUGUAGCGGUGAAAUGCGUAGAUAUUAGGAAGAACACCGGCGGCGAAGGCGGCCUGCUGGACCGUAACUGACGUUGAGGCUCGAAAGCGUGGGGAGCAAACAGGAUUAGAUACCCCAGUAGUC
rnacentral:rRNA from 1 species